rnacentral:rRNA from 1 species
UACAGGGGGGGCAAGCGUUGUUCGGAAUUACUGGGCGUAAAGGGCUCGUAGGCGGCCAACUAAGUCACACGUGAAAUCCCCAGGCUUAACCUGGGAACUGCGUCUGAUACUGGAUGGCUUGAGUUUGGGAGAGGGACGCGGAAUUCCAGGUGUAGCGGUGAAAUGCGUAGAUAUCUGGAGGAACACCGGUGGCGAAGGCGGCGUCCUGGACCAACACUGACACUGAUGAGCGAAAGCCAGGGGAGCAAACGGG